rfam:Brassica napus, WGS project CCCW01000000 data, contig: 22045
GGAAGUUAAGAAACUGUUUAUUAACUUUUAACUAAAAAAAUUAAGAACCGGUUCUUAAAUAAGAACUUUAAAAACCGAUUUUUAGUUUUUUUAGUUAAAAAUUAAAAAAUGGUUUCUUAAAUUCC